GCAUUUUGACAGCACUUAUAAUAAAACUGAAAUAAUACAGGGAAAAUCAGCACUGCCCCUGUGCAAGGAUAGCAUACAAAUUUAUAAAGUUUUCAUAUUUUUA